rnacentral:rRNA from 1 species
GGGUUGUGAGGUUAAGCGACUAAGCGUACACGGUGGAUGCCCUGGCAGUCAGAGGCGAUGAAGGACGUGCUAAUCUGCGAUAAGCGUCGGUAAGGUGAUAUGAACCGUUAUAACCGGCGAUUUCCGAAUGGGGAAACCCAGUGUGUUUCGACACACUAUCAUUAACUGAAUCCAUAGGUUAAUGAGGCGAACCGGGGGAACUGAAACAUCUAAGUACCCCGAGGAAAAGAAAUCAACCGAGAUUCCCCCAGUAGCGGCGAGCGAACGGGGAGCAGCCCAGAGCCUGAAUCAGUGUGUGUGUUAGUGGAAGCGUCUGGAAAGGCGCGCGAUACAGGGUGACAGCCCCGUACACAAAAAUGCACAUGCUGUGAGCUCGAUGAGUAGGGCGGGACACGUGGUAUCCUGUCUGAAUAUGGGGGGACCAUCCUCCAAGGCUAAAUACUCCUGACUGACCGAUAGUGAACCAGUACCGUGAGGGAAAGGCGAAAAGAACCCCGGCGAGGGGAGUGAAAAAGAACCUGAAACCGUGUACGUACAAGCAGUGGGAGCACGCUUAGGCGUGUGACUGCGUACCUUUUGUAUAAUGGGUCAGCGACUUAUAUUCUGUAGCAAGGUUAACCGAAUAGGGGAGCCGAAGGGAAACCGAGUCUUAACUGGGCGUUAAGUUGCAGGGUAUAGACCCGAAACCCGGUGAUCUAGCCAUGGGCAGGUUGAAGGUUGGGUAACACUAACUGGAGGACCGAACCGACUAAUGUUGAAAAAUUAGCGGAUGACUUGUGGCUGGGGGUGAAAGGCCAAUCAAACCGGGAGAUAGCUGGUUCUCCCCGAAAGCUAUUUAGGUAGCGCCUCGUGAAUUCAUCUCCGGGGGUAGAGCACUGUUUCGGCAAGGGGGUCAUCCCGACUUACCAACCCGAUGCAAACUGCGAAUACCGGAGAAUGUUAUCACGGGAGACACACGGCGGGUGCUAACGUCCGUCGUGAAGAGGGAAACAACCCAGACCGCCAGCUAAGGUCCCAAAGUCAUGGUUAAGUGGGAAACGAUGUGGGAAGGCCCAGACAGCCAGGAUGUUGGCUUAGAAGCAGCCAUCAUUUAAAGAAAGCGUAAUAGCUCACUGGUCGAGUCGGCCUGCGCGGAAGAUGUAACGGGGCUAAACCAUGCACCGAAGCUGCGGCAGCGACGCUUAUGCGUUGUUGGGUAGGGGAGCGUUCUGUAAGCCUGUGAAGGUGUGCUGUGAGGCAUGCUGGAGGUAUCAGAAGUGCGAAUGCUGACAUAAGUAACGAUAAAGCGGGUGAAAAGCCCGCUCGCCGGAAGACCAAGGGUUCCUGUCCAACGUUAAUCGGGGCAGGGUGAGUCGACCCCUAAGGCGAGGCCGAAAGGCGUAGUCGAUGGGAAACAGGUUAAUAUUCCUGUACUUGGUGUUACUGCGAAGGGGGGACGGAGAAGGCUAUGUUGGCCGGGCGACGGUUGUCCCGGUUUAAGCGUGUAGGCUGGUUUUCCAGGCAAAUCCGGAAAAUCAAGGCUGAGGCGUGAUGACGAGGCACUACGGUGCUGAAGCAACAAAUGCCCUGCUUCCAGGAAAAGCCUCUAAGCAUCAGGUAACAUCAAAUCGUACCCCAAACCGACACAGGUGGUCAGGUAGAGAAUACCAAGGCGCUUGAGAGAACUCGGGUGAAGGAACUAGGCAAAAUGGUGCCGUAACUUCGGGAGAAGGCACGCUGAUAUGUAGGUGAAGUCCCUCGCGGAUGGAGCUGAAAUCAGUCGAAGAUACCAGCUGGCUGCAACUGUUUAUUAAAAACACAGCACUGUGCAAACACGAAAGUGGACGUAUACGGUGUGACGCCUGCCCGGUGCCGGAAGGUUAAUUGAUGGGGUCAGCGCAAGCGAAGCUCUUGAUCGAAGCCCCGGUAAACGGCGGCCGUAACUAUAACGGUCCUAAGGUAGCGAAAUUCCUUGUCGGGUAAGUUCCGACCUGCACGAAUGGCGUAAUGAUGGCCAGGCUGUCUCCACCCGAGACUCAGUGAAAUUGAACUCGCUGUGAAGAUGCAGUGUACCCGCGGCAAGACGGAAAGACCCCGUGAACCUUUACUAUAGCUUGACACUGAACAUUGAGCCUUGAUGUGUAGGAUAGGUGGGAGGCUUUGAAGUGUGGACGCCAGUCUGCAUGGAGCCGACCUUGAAAUACCACCCUUUAAUGUUUGAUGUUCUAACGUUGACCCGUAAUCCGGGUUGCGGACAGUGUCUGGUGGGUAGUUUGACUGGGGCGGUCUCCUCCUAAAGAGUAACGGAGGAGCACGAAGGUUGGCUAAUCCUGGUCGGACAUCAGGAGGUUAGUGCAAUGGCAUAAGCCAGCUUGACUGCGAGCGUGACGGCGCGAGCAGGUGCGAAAGCAGGUCAUAGUGAUCCGGUGGUUCUGAAUGGAAGGGCCAUCGCUCAACGGAUAAAAGGUACUCCGGGGAUAACAGGCUGAUACCGCCCAAGAGUUCAUAUCGACGGCGGUGUUUGGCACCUCGAUGUCGGCUCAUCACAUCCUGGGGCUGAAGUAGGUCCCAAGGGUAUGGCUGUUCGCCAUUUAAAGUGGUACGCGAGCUGGGUUUAGAACGUCGUGAGACAGUUCGGUCCCUAUCUGCCGUGGGCGCUGGAGAACUGAGGGGGGCUGCUCCUAGUACGAGAGGACCGGAGUGGACGCAUCACUGGUGUUCGGGUUGUCAUGCCAAUGGCACUGCCCGGUAGCUAAAUGCGGAAGAGAUAAGUGCUGAAAGCAUCUAAGCACGAAACUUGCCCCGAGAUGAGUUCUCCCUGACCCUUUAAGGGUCCUGAAGGAACGUUGAAGACGACGACGUUGAUAGGCCGGGUGUGUAAGCGCAGCGAUGCGUUGAGCUAACCGGUACUAAUGAACCGUGAGGCUUAACCUUACAACGCCGAAG